GUGCCCUUAAGAUGGACUCGGUGCUUUCAGGGGCUAACAGAAGGACAAAAUAAGUUCCCAUAAAACCCAGAGGGGAGACUGGACAAACUUCUCCUGGAUCCUGUCUGGAGUCACAUCC